rnacentral:rRNA from 1 species
AUUGAACGCUGGCGGCAUGCCUUACACAUGCAAGUCGAACGGCAGCACGGGUGCUUGCACCUGGUGGCGAGUGGCGAACGGGUGAGUAAUACAUCGGAACAUGUCCUGUAGCGGGGGAUAGCCCGGCGAAAGCCGGAUUAAUACCGCAUACGAUCCACGGAUGAAAGCGGGGGACCUUCGGGCCUCGCGCUAUAGGGUUGGCCGAUGGCUGAUUAGCUCGUUGGUGGGGUAAAGGCCUACCAAGGCGACGAUCAGUAGCUGGUCUGAGAGGACGACCAGCCACACUGGGACUGAGACACGGCCCAGACUCCUACGGGAGGCAGCAGUGGGGAAUUUUGGACAAUGGGCGAAAGCCUGAUCCAGCAAUGCCGCGUGUGUGAAGAAGGCCUUCGGGUUGUAAAGCACUUUUGUCCGGAAAGAAAUCCUUGACUCUAAUACAGUCGGGGGAUGACGGUACCGGAAGAAUAAGCACCGGCUAACUACGUG